AUGGUACAAACGCCGGUAGUUUGUGGUAGCAGUAUUCUACUAGAAGUGGCAGUGAGUGUGAUGAUCACUUCAGAGUCAGGCUCCAUCUACCCAACGACAGACGUCCUUCACCAGGCAGGGCCUCCACCAGCUCCUCCACCAGGCAGGCCCUCAGCACGACUCCUCCAGCAGCAGGCAGGCCCUCAGCACGACUCCUCCAGCAGCUCCUUCAGCACGGCUCCUCCAUCAGCAUGGCUCCCCCAGAAAUAGAUUCCUGGUAUGGUUACAAACAGUUGGUCCCAGCAGUAAAUCACCUGGGGAAGCAACACACCCCACCACCUGCAUCUGUGGUUCACUUGUAACAGUGAAGACAAAUUUAAAACAUAUUUAAACACUUAAAUUAGACAACGUCUGCAGCUUGUCUCGUUCAGCAAUUCAUCCACUACGGUCGUAGCAGCACUAGUAACAAUAAUGGCUCAUAUGACUCUUACAUAACCCCCGUAUGAAUUAACUCAAAUCACAGCUUGGCAAAGAUUUGAAGUCAUUAGAUGAUCAAAACCAGACCUAAACUACCGUGGAUUUUAGUGUUUCAGAUGAGCUUGGUGAUGGUUACCCUCUGGUCCGGUGCUGCAGGCCCCUGGUCUCCAGCCUCAGUCUCCGGUCCACCCUGGCACCACAAGCCUCCGGUCCCCAGCCUCUCAGCCUCGCCUUUCAGCUACAGUAGCAGAUUUAUAUCAGCAUUUGCCCAACAAUAUAAUAAUAAACUUAAUUGACUCAUCCGAAACCGAGUUACACAAUUAAUUUAACUAUUAUUUUAUAACUCAAAGCUAGUAAAGACUUCAGAGGCCAAACAUGAGCAUCCCGUUAUUGGGAAUGAAGACAGCAAGUUUAAAGAAGUGGUUCAGGCAUGCAUUGAAGCUGACCUGAGCAGGCUCUACUCACACACAGAGCACUGACCUGUUCUGGAGGACUUCUGGCAGGAGGUGGAGGUCUGGCUCUGGGUGAGGAGGUGGAGGUCCUGCUCUGGGUGAGGAGGCAGACACCUUGGGACAAACUACAUGUUACCUUUUUAACCUUGUACCGUUCUAGAGUAUCUUCUACUGUAACAUGUGGGAAGGACGGCCAUUAUUUUAGCAUUGAUAUUAUCCAGUUGGUAACUGCACCAAAGUCGUUUAACGUCAUUCCAUUUCGUAGGGUUAAACUUCUGUUGCAAUUAAUGACAGCAGAUAUUUAGUUCGUACAAAAGCUGAAGUAACAAUGAACACUAAGCAGUAUCGAUAUUAAAUCAAAUAUACUCAGCCAUAUUCAGGUGCUGGGUUCCGUUGAAAUUCCACCUUGAAAUGAUUUUCAGCCGUCACUGAUGUGAAAAAAGGGCCCGCAAGUAGAACGCCGUUUUGUACGCAGCGAGAGUCCCUUCACGUCAUCGUGGUUAAAAGUACGGCGCAACCAUCGGAAAUUAACAUAUUGUGCGACGUACGUGUCAGUAUGUAUUUAAUAUCAAACUUAAGUUGCUUAAGAUAAGGGAACAAUUCCCAAUGGAAACGACUGAAAAAAAAAUUCUCGAGGUUACGCAAAUACAAUCCAGAACGUUCUGCCAGAUUCCUUCAGGGGACUCCCGUCCAACUAACUGCCAGGUGGUUUCUUAUGGUUGUCAAGACUACAACAUUCUAUGCUAACCAUCGGGACUAAAUCAAGUGACCGCACUCAGAACCUUCCACGGCGGGAAGCACAAACCGUCCGACCGGAAUCCGAACAUUCCGGCCGGAACCAACCAAAGAAAAAACAGAACCAGCGCCUCACCUUGAGCUGAACGAAGGAAGAUCCUGAAGUCCAGCGAUGAUCUUCAUUAAAACACAGCCAACAGACUUACCUUGAGGAGAUCAGUUUGUUGCUGUUGGUAAUUACUAUUCAGUGUAUCUUUACAUUAUUAUGCACCCAGUGUGUACAAGUUAUAUCACUCAAAACCUUAUGAAGACCCAAACUACCAUGUACGUCCCACAACAACUUUAAACCUAAAAUCAUUCAAUACAAAACCGCGUCUACAUUUUACAAUUAUCUAGAUUAUUCAGGGUACAAACCAUACAGAGCAAAUCUAAACGUUGAGCUCACAGAGAGCCGACCAUAGCCCUGCAACGUCACCCUGACCGCCCCAUCACCAACAGCAAAUCAUGCCAGCCAGCCAACACAUGUACAGGUCCAGUGACAAGUGGGCAUCUGAGUGAAAGGACCGCCCAUAAUAAAAAGCCCAAUUCCUGAACUAUCCAACCAUCUUCAUGGUUUAAUUAUUUACAGACUUGACAUGACAUUGUGUUCUAAUCGCCUUUGUCUACUCCCUCGUUACUUAUAAAACUCUACAUCUCCAUCACUAGAGUGUUACAUCCUACUCAUGGGGG
ensembl:lncRNA